rnacentral:rRNA from 1 species
AUUGAACGCUGGCGGCAUGCCUUACACAUGCAAGUCGAACGGUAACAGGUCUUCGGAUGCUGACGAGUGGCGAACGGGUGAGUAAUACAUCGGAACGUGCCCAGACGUGGGGGAUAACGAGGCGAAAGCUUUGCUAAUACCGCAUACGAUCUAAGGAUGAAAGCAGGGGACCGCAAGGCCUUGUGCAUUUGGAGCGGCCGAUGGCAGAUUAGGUAGUUGGUGGGAUAAAAGCUUACCAAGCCGACGAUCUGUAGCUGGUCUGAGAGGACGACCAGCCACACUGGGACUGAGACACGGCCCAGACUCCUACGGGAGGCAGCAGUGGGGAAUUUUGGACAAUGGGCGAAAGCCUGAUCCAGCAAUGCCGCGUGCAGGAUGAAGGCCUUCGGGUUGUAAACUGCUUUUGUACGGAACGAAAAGGCUCUGGCUAAUACCUGGGGCACAUGACGGUACCGUAAGAAUAAGCACCGGCUAACUACGUG